AUGCCCCCCUGUAUCCUAGAUGACACCCGGCGGGAUCCCUUUCCCCCUACCACAGGCUCGCGCGCAAACGCACAGAGACAUACACACACACCCCACUCCUUCCUUCUCUCCCUCCUCCCCUCCCUCCUCCCCCUCCCCCUCCCUCUCCUCCUUCCUCCUCCUCUGCUCUCUGCCAGAUACCCACCCCCCGGCCCAGAUGAGUGGCUGAUCAGUUUUCUCCCUCCCCCUCGCCACACACACACAUUUUCUUCUCUCAACUGGAGCACAGAUCCGGGAGGGAAGCGGCAGCUAGCACCCACCGUGGGGAGAAGAGAAGUAGGAGAAAGAGAAGGAGAGCAGAACCUUCCUGAAUCACAGUGUGGCUUCCGACCAGAUCGUAGCACCAUUGACAUGGUCUUCACAGUGAGGCAAAUGCAGGAAAAAUGCCUUGAGCAGAACCUGAGUCUCUACAUUGUCUUCAUAGACCUGACAAAGGUGUUCGACACAGUGAACAGGGACGCAUUGUGGGUGAUCCUCAGCAAGCUCGGUUGCCCAGCAAAAUUCGUCAAACUGAUCCAGCUCUUUCAUGUCGACAUGACAGGGGAAGUCCUAUCUGGUGGAGAGACUUCCGAUCGCUUCAACAUCUCCAAUGGCGUGAAACAAGGCUGCGUCCUCGCUCCAGUACUAUUCAACCUAUUUUUCACCCAGGUAUUACGACAUGCUGUGAUGGAUCUAGACCUGGGCAUCUACAUCAAAUACCGACUGGAUGGCUCACUAUUCGACCUUCGCCGCCUGACUGCAAAAACAAAGACAACAGAGAGACUCAUCCUGGAAGCUCUCUUUGCAGAUGACUGUGCUCUCAUGGCCCACCAAGAAAAUCAUCUCCAAACCAUUGUGGACAGGUUCUCCACCACAACAAAACUGUUUGGCCUAACUAUCAGCCUCAGCAAAACAGAGGUGCUGUUCCAACCCGCACCAGGGAGGCCAACUAACCAGCCGUGCAUAACCAGCUGUGCAUAACCAGCCGUGCAUUACAAUUGACAGCACACAACUUUAUAACGUCAACACUUUCAAGUACCUGGGCAGCACCAUCGCCAACGACGGGUCCCUAGACCAUGAAAUCAAUGCCAGGAUCCAAAAGGCCAGCCAGGCACUCGGGCAGCUGCGCUGCAAAGUCCUCCAACACAGUGGUGUAAGCACUGCGACGAAGCUCAAAGUGUACAACGCAGUGGUCCUCAGCUCGCUCCUGUACGGUUGUGAAACAUGGACACUGUACCGGAAGCACAUGAAGCAGCUGGAGCAAUUCCACCAACGCUCCCUCCGGUCAAUCAUGAGGAUCCAAUGGCAGGACCGAAUCACCAACCAAGAAGUCCUCGACAGAGCCAACUCCACCAGCAUCGAAGUCCUGGUCCUCCAAACCCAGCUACGAUGGUCUGGACAUGUCAUCCGCAUGGACCCACAGCAAAUACCAAGACAGGUAUUCUAUGGUGAACUGUCAGCUGGACUCAGGAAACAAGGCCGACCAAAGAAAAGAUUCAAGGAUCAGCUGAAGUCAAACUUGAAGUGGGCUGGCAUUACACCAAGGCAACUAGAACUCGCUGCCUCUGUCAGAAGUAGCUGGUGAACCCACAUUCACCAUGCCGCCACCACCUUUGAAGAUGAGCGACGUCGACGUCUUGCCACUGCAUGUGAACGCCGACACCAGGCCACAACCGCACCUCCCGUAACAACUGGCGUCCCAGGCCCCGUGUGCCACACACUCUGUGCCUCAGCCUUUGGACUCCAAAGCCACAUGAGGGUACACCGUAGAUGAAACUGCACAAAGACAAUGGUCAUUCUCGGUCACCAAGAGACUACCACUAUGCUGCCUCCAAUACUGCCUUCUUUUCAGACUUUAACUCCCUUUAUAUGUUAUGCAUCAUUUAACACUAUUGGCAAGCCUCUCCUACUGAAUGUUCUUCUUUAACUUCAGGGACAUAGUCUUAAGGUUCUCUUGUCUCUAAUUAUUCCUGAUUUCUUCAUUGGGUACUCUAUCUCUUCUAGUACCUUAAUAUGUAUGAACCCCGAAGGUCUAUUUUUAGUUAUCUGCUUUGUAUAUGUUUUCUCUUUUGGCAACUUCAUUAACUCCCAUGCAUUCAAUUACAACUUCUACUAUGGGUGACUCCAAAAUCUUUACCUCAGACUUUGACCUAUCUUCUGAGUUUUAGAUACAUAUCUUCAGCUUCUUACAGGACAUUUUCAGUUGGAUGUUCCUUUAAAACCUUAAAACUAAAUGUAGUUUUCUUUUUUUUCUCUUUUAAAAAAACCCUUACUUUCUGUUUUAUUAUUAAUUCUAAGACAGAAGAGCAGCAAGAGCUGGGCAGAGUUAAGUGACUUGCCCAAAGUCACAUAACUAGGAAGAGUCUGAAGCCAGAAUUAAACCAAGGUUCUUUCAGCUCUAGUAGAUAACUGUGCUUGUGAUACAUAGCUGCCCCUAAAUGUAUAUUUCAAUCUAGGAGAAUAAUUUGGACUACAAUAAAAGUAAAUUUAUUCCUAUUAUCUUCUGAUCU
ensembl:lncRNA